AUUAUCUAUCUGUAGUGAAUGUUAAUUGUGUGUUGUGUGAACAAUCUUUUCAUUCAUUAUUAAGGUAGCGAAAAAACAAUGAAACUAACAUGAAAAUGGCAGCUGGUCGUGAUGUAGAAGCAGCAGAACCUCAAGACCCUCUUCUUGAAUAUUCAGUAUCUUCGAGUCACGACGAAAAUUUCAAAUGGAAAAUCUUGAAAUACGUAGAUAUCUUUUUAUCGAGUACUGUAUUAUGUUUUUUCAUCGUCGCUUGUUGGACGGGCACGUGGACUCUUCUGGAUAUAUACGGCGAAUAUUUUCCCAUGUACGAAAGUUUCGCUUUAUCGAUAUUUAUACAUUUCGUUUUCGCGAUGAGUCAGAAGUUUUUCCACAAUUUACUAGUUGAGAGACCAUCGAAAAGUAUUGCUACCAAGUGCGUUAAUUGGUUGCUUCAUAAAAUAUAUUUUUUGAUUUUUUACGUCGCCGGAAUUAUGAAUUGGAGAUCUGGAUCUUUCAUAUUCGAACAAGCAUUCGGAAUCACGCCAGAAAGUACGAUGUACGACUUUGGAGUUAUGCUCUCUUUAAUCGCUACUUUAUUUUGUUGUACCAUUUUAAUGUGGCUCGGUGGAAUGUGCAACGUUACAUCAGCGCCGAUGCAAGUUACCGUCGACUGUAAAUCCGAGACGUUUCUUUUCAAUUAUAAAUUCUUCAGGGUAAGUACAUCAUACUGUUUCUGAUUCUAUCAAUUAAAAUUUUGUUGUUGUUUGUUCUUAAUUUUAAUUUUGAAGUACUCAUAAAUCUCAAAUCCUUUUCAUACUUUAAACAUAUACUUAAAAUGAGUUAAUUUUUGGUUUCUGAUAUUUUAUUUUGCGGUGUAUUUUUACAUUUGAUAAUUCAAUGUGUAUCAUAACACAUCAAUCAAUAAGUCGUGUGGCUAACUAAGAAAAAUAAAUUUUUUUGACAAAAAAAAAGAAAGCAAUAUAAUCUUUCCAACAUCUCGAUGCCGUGCUUGUAGGAUUUGUUUUUUGCCUCAUAAUAAGCAUCAGUUUCAGCAAUUGCUUCAUCAUUAGAGCUGAAUUUCUUACCAGCGACCAUUUUUUGAAAUCAGGGAAUAGCCAGUAAUGCAAUUCUUUCAAUUUAACCAUCGUUGCCAUCGACUUCUGAAUCAUUUUAUUGUCUUUGUGUAACGGUGGUUUUUCUUCGACAUAUGAGGCCGUUUUCCCUUGAUUUUCGCAUUCAAACGAUCCAACAAAUAGUAUUCGCUAUUGAUUUUCUCUCCUUUUUGGAGAGUCGAUCUCAAAAUACUGAAGCCACGUGUGAACAUAGCCAAACACUACUACGAAUCAUCAACACGUUGUUGUUUUUAAAAGACUGUAAGUAAACGCAGCAUCCACUUUAAAAAAAGCUCUCUCGUAGUCAAAGGUCAAAUACACUACCCUCUGAUACCUAUACGACCUCAGCUAUCUAACCAAUUUCAAUUUACGAUUAGAUAUAAUCAGUUGUGGACUUUUUUGAUGUUUUAUGAAGUCACAACCUCCAUUGGACGACCAGAACGUUCACCAUCAUCGAUGUCUCUACGACCACGUUUAAAUUCAGCAAACCAAUAACAAACGCCUCUUGUCGAUGGACCAGAGUCCGAAAGUUUUAAGCAAAUGCUAAACUUGUACCGUAUUUUUUAUUUCAUCAAAAAACAGUAAUACAUAAGAAAUGGUUUUAAAAAUAACAACUUCACCUAAAUGACUGUCACUUUCUUCUGACAUGAAAUUUUUGUUUUGAAAGUUGGUACUUCAUAAACGUCAUAUGGAUUUGACAAUAGCAGCGCCAUCUAUGUGUCAGUCACACGACUUAUUGAGUGAUGUUAUAUGUUUGGGAUUCAUUUUGUUCAGAUACCUCUGUUUUCGAUGAAAUCUAUUUAGUUUUGACUGCGAUAGCAUAUAAUGAAGUUUUUCCAUGUUUUACUGUUAAAAAAGUCCUUGUUUCGGUUAAUUCCAAUAUUUUCGGCUCAGUUUCUAGUAAACUACAAUGAAAAAAUUCCUGACCAACAUAAUUUGAUCGAGUAGAGGUAAAUAUUAGUAUAGAUUAGUGAAAAUUAUUUUAUAUUUGUGCAAUUCUAAUAAUACAGAAUCAAAAAUAAGUUUGUUAAUUCAUUGUUUACAGCUGUAUUGAGACUUGUUACUAAUUGUAGGUUUAUAAUUAUGACAUUCACAACGUUUUGUUCCUCAAAAAACGGCCUGAAGUUGAAUUAAUUUAUUUCAAACUUAAUAGUAUUUUUUUAGCUUUAUAGUGGAAAAUGAUCCCAUUAUUUCGUAUUAAAAUAACUGCAUCCUGAAUUUAAUAUCAUGUCUCGUGAUCCAAAGUCAACCAUUAUUUCAUUUUAUAUGAAAAUCAAGCGGAUUCAAUUCGAGACUACGUGGUAGUCAUGGUACAGUGAUAUUCGCUAUAACAGAAUGUUUAAAUCAGAUAAUAACUCAUAGGAAGUAAAAAAUCCUUUUUGUAUAAUUUUAGCUUUAAUUGUAGAUGUUUAUACCUAAUUCCAUGUAAUUAUUUUCUUAUCGUGUAGCUACAAUUUACUUAUUAUUAACCCUGUAUAAAUCUAAAUAGAAUGUAGAAAGAGAUAA